rnacentral:misc_RNA from 1 species
GAUGAAGAACGUAGUGAAAUGCGAUAAGUAAUGUGAAUUGCAGAAUUCAGUGAAUCAUCGAAUCUUUGAACGCACAUUGCGCCCUCUGGUAUUCCGGGGGGCAUGCCUGUUCGAGCGUCAUUACAACCCUCAAGCUCAGCUUGGUGUUGGGCCCCGCCGCCCCGGCGGGCCCUAAAGUCAGUGGCGGUGCCGUCCGGCUCCGAGCGUAGUAAUUCUUCUCGCUCUGGAGGUCCGGUCGUGUGCUCGCCAGCAACCCCCAAUUUUUUUCAGGUUGACCUCGGAUCAGGUAGGGAUACCCGCUGAACUUAAGCAUAUCAAUAAGCGGAGGA